GUGCUCACUCCGGCAGCACAUAUACUAAAAUUGGAACGAUACAGAGAAGAUUAGCAUGGCCCCUGCACAAGGAUGACAUGCAAAUUCGUGAAGCAUUCCAUAUUUUU
rnacentral:snRNA from 2 species